AUCAACUUUCGAUGGUAGGAUAGAGGCCUACCAUGGUGGUAACGGGUAACGGGGUGUUAGGGCACGACACCGGAGAGGGAGCCUGAGAAACGGCUACCACAUCCAAGGAAGGCAGCAGGCGCGCAAAUUACCCAGUCCCGACACGGGGAGGUAGUGACAAUAAAUAACAAUACAGGGUUCUUUUGGAUCUUGUAAUUGGAAUGAGUACAAUUUAAAUCUCUUAACGAGGAACAAUUGGAGGGCAAGUCUGGUGCCAGCAGCCGCGGUAAUUCCAGCUCCAAUAGCGUAUAUUAAAGUUGUUGCAGUUAAAAAGCUCGUAGUUGAAUUUCGGGAUCAAUGUUUCGGUCAUGCCGUUGGUAUGUACUGAUAUUAUUGGUUUCUCACCUUCUAAAGAACCGUAAUGCCAUUAAUUUGGUGUCACGGGGAAUUAGGACUGUUACCUUGAAAAAAUUAGAGUGUUUAAAGCAGGCUCACGCUUGAAUACAUUAGCAUGGAAUAAUGAAAUAGGACAUCCGAUUCUAUUUUGUUGGUUUCUAGGAUCGAUGUAAUGAUUAAUAGGGAUAGUUGGGGGCAUUAGUAUUCAAUUGUCAGAGGUGAAAUUCUUGGAUUUAUUGAAGACUAACUACUGCGAAAGCAUUUGCCAAGGAUGUUUUCAUUAAUCAAGAACGAAAGUUAGGGGAUCGAAGACGAUCAGAUACCGUCGUAGUCUUAACCAUAAACUAUGCCGACUAGGGAUCGGAUGAUGUUAAUUUUUUAAUGACUCAUUCGGCGCCUUACGGGAAACCAAAGUGUUUGGGUUC
rnacentral:rRNA from 1 species